CAAACGACUCUCGGCAACGGAUAUCUCGGCUCACGCAUCGAUGAAGAACGUAGCAAAAUGCGAUACUUGGUGUGAAUUGCAGAAUCCCGUGAACCAUCGAGUUUUUGAACGCAAGUUGCGCCCGAAGCCAUCCGGCAGAGGGCACGCCUGCCUGGGCGUCASGC
rnacentral:rRNA from 1 species